GAUGAACGCUGGCGGCGUGCCUAACACAUGCAAGUCGAGCGAACGGACGAGAAGCUUGCUUCUCUGAUGUUAGCGGCGGACGGGUGAGUAACACGUGGAUAACCUACCUAUAAGACUGGGAUAACUUCACGAAACCGGAGCUAAUACCCGAUAAUAUUUUGAACCGCAUGGUUCAAAAGUGAAAGACGGUCUUGCUGUCACUUAUAGAUGGAUCCGCGCUGCAUUAGCUAGUUGGUAAGGUAACGGCUUACCAAGGCGACGAUGCAUAGCCGACCUGAGAGGGUGAUCGGCCACACUGGAACUGAGACACGGUCCAGACUCCUACGGGAGGCAGCAGUAGGGAAUCUUCCGGAAUGGGCGAAAGCCUGACGAAGCAACGCCGCGUGAGUGAUGAAGGUCUUCGGAUCGUAAAACUCUGUUAGUAGGGAGGAACGUAAGUGUAAGUAACUGUGCACAUCUUGACGGUACCUAAUCAGAAAGCCACGGCUAACUACGUG
rnacentral:rRNA from 1 species